rnacentral:rRNA from 1 species
UACAGAGGGGGCGAGCGUUAAUCGGAAUUACUGGGCGUAAAGCGCACGUAGGCGGCGACGUAAGUCGGGUGUGAAAGCCCCGGGCUCAACCUGGGAAUUGCAUUCGAGACUGCAUUGCUGGAGUACAGAAGAGGAGGGCGGAAUUCCCGGUGUAGAGGUGAAAUGCGUAGAUAUCGGGAGGAACAUCAGUGGCGAAGGCGGCCCUCUGGUCCAGUACUGACACUCAAGUGCGAAAGCGUGGGGAGCAAACAGG